AAAGUCCAGCUUGGGCAAAGGUUAACCACCAGCCCAACACUUAAUCCCCCAUGCAAUCGGGCAACUGGCUGUGUGGAGCGGGAAGCUGGAGGUAUCGAGCCGCAACGUAAGUGAAGGGAUUGAGCCCCGAAAUAAUCAUCGUGUCGGAGGCCGAUACUGUUCAUUAAGGAGCAGGCAGCAUUCUUGUAAUCGUUAAGGUGAGAUUACGAGAACCCGACGGGGUCUAAGACCG
rfam:Nitrospirae bacterium RIFCSPLOW2_12_42_9 rifcsplowo2_12_sub10_scaffold_1840, whole genome shotgun sequence.